UGGGGAAUAUUGGACAAUGGGCGCAAGCCUGAUCCAGCCAUGCCGCGUGAGUGACGAAGGCCUUAGGGUUGUAAAGCUCUUUUGGCGGGGACGAUAAUGACGGUACCCGCAGAAUAAGCCCCGGCUAACUUCGUGCCAGCAGCCGCGGUAAUACGAAGGGGGCUAGCGUUGUUCGGAAUCACUGGGCAUAAAGCGCGUGUAGGCGGGUCGUUAAGUUGGGGGUGAAAUCCCGAGGCUCAACCUCGGAACUGCCUUCAAAACUGGCGACCUGGACCUAAGUAGAGGCAAGUGGAAUUGCGAGUGUAGAGGUGAAAUUCGUAGAUAUUCGCAGGAACACCAGUGGCGAAGGCGACUUGCUGGACUUAUGGUGACGCUGAGACGCGAAAGCGUGGGGAGCAAACAGGAUUAGAUACCCCCGUAGUCCCUGAGCGGGCUGGCAAGGCGCAU
rnacentral:rRNA from 1 species